rnacentral:rRNA from 1 species
GAGCGGCGGACGGGUGAGUAACGCGUGGGUAACCUGCCCUGUACACACGGAUAACAUACCGAAAGGUAUGCUAAUACGGGAUAAUAUAAGAGAGUCGCAUGGCUUUCUUAUCAAAGCUUUUGUGGUACAGGAUGGACCCGCGUCUGAUUAGCUAGUUGGUAAGGUAACGGCUUACCAAGGCGACGAUCAGUAGCCGACCUGAGAGGGUGAUCGGCCACAUUGGAACUGAGACACGGUCCAAACUCCUACGGGAGGCAGCAGUGGGGAAUAUUGCACAAUGGGCGAAAGCCUGAUGCAGCAGCGCCGCGUGAGCGAUGAAGGCCUUCGGGUCGUAAAGCUCUGUUCUCAAGGAAGAUAAUGACGGUACUUGAGGAGGAAGCCCCGGCUAACUACGUGCCAGCAGCCGCGGUAAUACGUAGGGGGCUAGCGUUAUCCGGAAUUACUGGGCGUAAAGGGUGCGUAGGCGGUCUUUCAAGUCAGAAGUGAAAGGCUACGGCUCAACCGUAGUAAGCUUUUGAAACUGUAAGACUUGAGUGCAGGAGAGGAGAGUGGAAUUCCUAGUGUAGCGGUGAAAUGCGUAGAUAUUAGGAGGAACACCAGUUGCGAAGGCGGCUCUCUGGACUGUAACUGACGCUGAGGCACGAAAGCGUGGGGAGCAAACAGGAUUAGAUACCCUGGUAGUCCACGCCGUAAACGAUGAGUACUAGCUGUCGGAGGUUACCCCCUUCGGUGGCGCAGCUAACGCAUUAAGUACUCCGCUUGGGGAGUACGCUCGCAAGAGUGAAACUCAAAGGAAUUGACGGGGACCCGCACAAGUAGCGGAGCAUGUGGUUUAAUUCGAAGCAACGCGAAGAACCUUACCUAAGCUUGACAUCCUUUUGACCUCUCCCUAAUCGGAGAUUUCCCUUCGGGGACAAAAGUGACAGGUGGUGCAUGGUUGUCGUCAGCUCGUGUCGUGAGAUGUUGGGUUAAGUCCCGCAACGAGCGCAACCCUUGCCUUUAGUUGCCAGCAUUAAGUUGGGCACUCUAGAGGGACUGCCAGGGAUAACCUGGAGGAAGGUGGGGAUGACGUCAAAUCAUCAUGCCCCUUAUGCUUAGGGCUACACACGUGCUACAAUGGGUGGUACAGAGGGCAGCCAAGUCGUGAGGCGGAGCUAAUCCCUUAAAGCCAUUCUCAGUUCGGAUUGUAGGCUGAAACUCGCCUACAUGAAGCUGGAGUUACUAGUAAUCGCAGAUCAGAAUGCUGCGGUGAAUGCGUUCCCGGGUCUUGUACACACCGCCCGUCACACCACGGAAGUUGGGGGCGCCCGAAGCCACUUAGCUAACCCUUUCGGGAAGCGAGUGUCGAAGGUGAAAUCAAUAACUGGGGUGAAGUCGUAACA